rnacentral:rRNA from 1 species
UAGGGAAUCUUCCACAAUGGACGCAAGUCUGAUGGAGCAACGCCGCGUGAGUGAAGAAGGUUUUCGGACCGUAAAGCUCUGUUGUUGGUGAAGAAAGAUAGAGGUAGUAACUGGCCUUUAUUUGACGGUAAUCAACCAGAAAGUCACGGCUAACUACGUGCCAGCAGCCGCGGUAAUACGUAGGUGGCAAGCGUUGUCCGGAUUUAUUGGGCGUAAAGCGAGCGCAGGCGGAAGAAUAAGUCUGAUGUGAAAGCCCUCGGCUUAACCGAGGAAUUGCAUCGGAAACUGUUUUUCUUGAGUGCAGAAGAGGAGAGUAGAACUCCAUGUGUAGCGGUGGAAUGCGUAGAUAUAUGGAAGAAUACCAGUGGCGAAGGCGGCUCUCUGGUCUGCAACUGACGCUGAGGCUCGAAAGCAUGGGUAGCGAACAGGAUUAGAUACCCUGGUAGUCCAUGCCGUAAACGAUGAGUGCUAAGUGUUGGGAGGCUUCCGCCUCUCAGUGCUGCAGCUAACGCAUUAAGCACUCCGCCUGGGGGAGUACGACCGCAAGGUUGAAAC